UUUCCCUACGGGACGCAGCAGUGGGGAAUAUUGGGCAAUGGGCGCAAGCCUGACCCAGCAACGACGCGUGAAGGAAGAAGGCUUUCGGGUUGUAAACUUCUUUUAAGAGGGAAGAGCAGAAGACGGUACCUCUUGAACAAGCCCCGGCUAACUACGUGCCAGCAGCCGCGGUAAAACGUAGGGGGCGAGCGUUGUCCGGAAUGACUGGGCGUAAAGGGUGCGUAGGCGGCAUAAUAAGUUAGAAGUGAAAUACCCAGAGCUUAACUCGGGUGCUGCUUCUAAGACUGUUGAGCUUGAGUGCGGGG
rnacentral:rRNA from 1 species